AGUCACGCUUGUGUUCCUCAAAGUGUCACACACGCACAUCGGUCACUGAUCAAGUUU
rnacentral:sRNA from 1 species